UACAGAGGGUGCGAGCGUUAAUCGGAGUUACUGGGCGUAAAGCGUGCGUAGACGGUUAUUUAAGUCGGGUGUGAAAGCCCCGGGCUCAACCUGGGAAUUGCAUUUGAGACUGCGUAGCUAGGGUGCGGAAGAGGGAAGCGGAAUUUCCGGUGUAGCGGUGAAAUGCGUAGAUAUCGGAAGGAACACCAGUGGCGAAAGCGGCUUCCUGGUCCAGCACCGACGUUCAGGCACGAAAGCGUGGGGAGCAAACAGG
rnacentral:rRNA from 1 species